rnacentral:lncRNA from 1 species
CGGUGGUACCGCCAGGACCUAGGAAACCCAAGAUGAGACAUUUUUAGGCUCCAAGUUUGAUUCAACUUGAGGCCUAUAAAUACCCCUCUCAUCCCUGGUUAACUUACAUAAGCACAAAGAGCUUAAAAGUGGGAAAACAUUGUUGUAAUCACUUGAGAGAUCUCCUCAUCUAGUCUAAGUUUAGAAUUCUAUUUAGGAAGAGUAAGUGCUUGUAAAGGUUGUCUCCUAAACCUCUGAAAAGGAGAAGAGGGGUGUAAAACGUGGUUGGUUUUCGCCUAUUAAAGGAAGACCGAUAGUGGA